rnacentral:lncRNA from 1 species
AUCAAGUUCCCAGUGAGGACAGGGCGGGGCCGGGCAGGGGUGGCCAGGCCUGAAGGACGUGGGGACAUGGGCCAGAGAGGCCAGACCCAUACACCGACAGAAGCAAACCUGAGCUGUGAGUUGGGGACCAGCACAGGGACGCCAUCCGGACCCAAAACCAUUCCAUCCCUCAACGCUUCACCCUUACUCUCAGCCGAGCUUUCCGAGCGAGGACAGUGCUGGGACCACACGAACCUAGUCUCUGUCCAGGCCCACUCCCUUCCCUGGGUGUCUUUCCCAGACCCCAAGCCGCUCUUCGCUGCCUUUGGGGCACCUAGAGCCAGACUUCGGCACCAUUGCAGAUCGGCCUAUCCGGAACCCCACGAGGGUUCGGUGGCAGCGGCGGUUGGCCAGGCUUGGAAGGGCCCAGCAGGGCGCGUAGCGUUGGGGCACGGGCGGGUUUGGGGGUGGUCGUAUAGGGGACGGGGAAGGGGGUGGGGGAAGCGAGGACCAGAUGGGGAGGUGGGGGGCGGAGCCUCAGCUAGAGGUGGCUGGGCGGGGGCGGGGCUGGGCUGGGCACACUAAGCACCUUCUGGCCCUACUCUUAGGUGCUGACUAAACCCCAGGAUGGCGGAAGCACACCAGGCAGUAGCUUUCCAGUUCACUGUGACCCCAGACGGGGUCGACUUCCGGCUUAGUCGGGAGGCUCUGAGACACAUCUACCUGUCUGGAAUCAACUCCUGGAAGAAACGCCUUAUUCGAAUCAAGAAUGGUAUCCUUAGGGGUGUGUACCCUGGCAGCCCUACCAGCUGGCUGGUUGUUGUCAUGGCAACAGUUGGUUCCAACUACUGCAAAGUGGACAUCUCCAUGGGGCUGGUCCAUUGCAUCCAGAGAUGCCUCCCGACAAGUCUCCCCCUUCUCUAACAGGUAUGGCUCCUACGGGACCCCACAGACCGAGACACUUCUCAGUAUGGUCAUCUUCUCCACCGGAGUCUGGGCGACAGGCAUUUUUUUAUUCCGACAAACCCUGAAGCUGCUGCUUUCCUAUCAUGGGUGGAUGUUCGAGAUGCACAGCAAGACCAGCCAUGCCACCAAGAUCUGGGCUAUCUGUGUUCGUCUCCUGUCCAGCCGGCGGCCCAUGCUCUAUAGCUUCCAAACAUC